UACGAAGGGGGCAAGCGUUGUUCGGAAUUACUGGGCGGAAAGGGCGCGCAGGCGGCCUGACAAGUCAGAUGUGAAAGCCCCGGGCUCAACCUGGGAAUAGCAUUUGGGACUGUUGGGCUAGAGAUCGGGGGAGGAGAGUGGAAUUCCCAGUGUAGUGGUGAAAUGCGUAGAGAUCGGGAGGAAUACCUGUGGCGAAGGCGGCCUACUGGGCCGGACCUGACGCUGAGACGCGAAGGCGUGGGGAGCGAACGGG
rnacentral:rRNA from 1 species